rnacentral:rRNA from 1 species
GGGGAAUAUUGCACAAUGGGCGCAAGCCUGAUGCAGCGACGCCGCGUGAGGGAUGAAGGCCUUCGGGUUGUAAACCUCUUUCAGCAGGGAAGAAGCUCUUGAGUGACGGUACCUGCAGAAGAAGCGCCGGCUAACUACGUGCCAGCAGCCGCGGUAAUACGUAGGGCGCGAGCGUUGUCCGGAAUUAUUGGGCGUAAAGAGCUCGUAGGCGGCUUGUCGCGUCGGUUGUGAAAGCCCGGGGCUUAGCUCCGGGUCUGCAGUCGAUACGGGCAGGCUAGAGUUCGGUAGGGGAGAUCGGAAUUCCUGGUGUAGCGGUGAAAUGCGCAGAUAUCAGGAGGAACACCGGUGGCGAAGGCGGAUCUCUGGGCCGAUACUGACGCUGAGGAGCGAAAGCGUGGGGAGCGAAC